UACAGAGGUCUCAAGCGUUGUUCGGAUUCAUUGGGCGUAAAGGGUGCGUAGGUGGUGAUGCAAGUCUGGUGUGAAAUCUCGGAGCUCAACUCCGAAAUUGCACCGGAUACUGCGUGACUCGAGGACUGUAGAGGAGAUCGGAAUUCACGGUGUAGCAGUGAAAUGCGUAGAUAUCGUGAGGAGGACCAGUUGCGAAGGCGGAUCUCUGGGCAGUUCCUGACACUGAGGCACGAAGGCCAGGGGAGCAAACGGG
rnacentral:rRNA from 1 species